AGAGUUUGAUCCUGGCUCAGAUUGAACGCUGGCGGCAUGCUUACACAUGCAAGUCGAACGGCAGCGNNNGGCAACCUGGCGGCGAGUGGCGAACGGGUGAGUAAUAUAUCGGAACGUACCCUGGAGUGGGGGAUAACGUAGCGAAAGUUACGCUAAUACCGCAUACGAUCUACGGAUGAAAGUGGGGGACCGCAAGGCCUCAUGCUCGUGGAGCGGCCGAUAUCUGAUUAGCUAGUUGGUGAGGUGAAGGCUCACCAAGGCGACGAUCAGUAGCUGGUCUGAGAGGACGAUCAGCCACGCUGGAACUGAGACACGGUCCAGACUCCUACGGGAGGCAGCAGUGGGGAAUUUUGGACAAUGGGCGCAAGCCUGAUCCAGCAAUGCCGCGUGAGUGAAGAAGGCCUUCGGGUUGUAAAGCUCUUUUGUCAGGGAAGAAACGGUAGGAGCUAAUAUCUCUUGCUAAUGACGGUACCUGAAGAAUAAGCACCGGCUAACUACGUGCCAGCAGCCGCGGUAAUACGUAGGGUGCAAGCGUUAAUCGGAAUUACUGGGCGUAAAGCGUGCGCAGGCGGUUUUGUAAGUUUGUCGUGAAAUCCCCGGGCUUAACCUGGGAAUUGCGAUGAAGACUGCAAGGCUAGAAUCUGGCAGAGGGGGGUAGAAUUCCACGUAGCAGUGAAAUGCGUAGAGAUGUGGAGGAACACCGAUGGCGAAGGCAGCCCCCCGGGUCAAGAUUGACGCUCAUGCACGAAAGCGUGGGGAGCAAACAGGAUUAGAUACCCUAGUAGUCC
rnacentral:rRNA from 1 species